CGAAAGUCCUUCGGGAUGAGUAAAGUGGCGCACGGGUGAGUAAUGCAUGGGAACGUGCCCUUGAGUGGGGAAUAACUGUCGGAAACGACAGCUAAUACCGCAUAGUCUCGCAAGAGUAAAGGUGGCGCCCGCAAGGGGCUAUCGCUUAAGGAUCGGCCCAUGUCCCCAUUAGCUAGUUGGCAGGGUAAUGGCCUACCAAGGCAACGAUGGGUAACUGGUCUGAGAGGAUGAUCAGUCACACUGGAACUGAGACACGGUCCAGACUCC
rnacentral:rRNA from 1 species